CCUACGGGGUGCAGCAGUGAGGAAUAUUUGUCAAUGGACGAGAGUCUGAACCAGCCAAGUAGCGUGAAGGAUGACUGCCCUAUGGGUUGUAAACUUCUUUUAUAUGGGAAUAAAAUGUUCCACGUGUGGGAUUUUGUAUGUACCAUAUGAAUAAGGAUCGGCUAACUCCGUGCCAGCAGCCGCGGUAAUACGGAGGAUCCGAGCGUUAUCCGGAUUUAUUGGGUUUAAAGGGAGCGUAGGUGGAUUGUUAAGUCAGUUGUGAAAGUUUGCGGCUCAACCGUAAAAUUGCAGUUGAAACUGGCAGUCUUGAGUACAGUAGAGGUGGGCGGAAUUCGUGGUGUAGCGGUGAAAUGCUUAGAUAUCACGAAGAACUCCGAUUGCGAAGGCAGUUCACUGGACUGCAACUGACACUGAGGCUCGAAAGUGUGGGUAUCAAACAGGAUUAGAUACCCUUGUAGUC
rnacentral:rRNA from 1 species